ensembl:lncRNA
GAAGGAUCGAACUGAGAAAGUUAGGAUCUGUGGGAAGACAGUGCUCAGAGCCCUGCCCUUCUGUGAAACCAGCAGAGACGUGAAAGUGUAGUGGCCAGUGUCCAUUUCUGGCAGGUGAAUGGCCCUUCUGCUUGGAUUCCUGUCUGCUAAAGUCCUGGGGGAAACAGUUGACACUCCCAACUGCAGCUUAGUGGCGGAGGAUCUCCAAAUCACAGGAAGAACUGGAGAUAGUUCUAGGGUCUGUGGGGUCUCCUGUUUCCAGGCUGAUGGUUUAAGACUGUCUAAUAAUGAUUUAAAAUAAACUUACCCUGGGACCUUGUGAAUUAUGCUCUAUGAGAAGAUGAAAGUAAAAAACCCUGACAAGUAGGAAGAUUCUUUCAUUUACAGGAAGAGACUAAUAGUCACAUGGAAGAGAAUAGGAAAGAAGACAGAAUUUUAUGCUUCAGGCAGUGAUUGUGAUUUGUGGUACCCUUUUUUUUACAGUUUGGAGUGUAUCCUGUCAUACUUCUCCCUCCUGCAGAUAAAGAUUGAUUGAUUGAUCAAUUGAUAGACACACACAUGCCAUGUGGUAUAUAUGAGACCCUUCAUUACAAUAGGGAUAUAACCUGAUGAUUCUUCAUAUGUCAGCUUGAUGUUAUGUUAUAUGAGUUAUUUACGAGAAUUAUAUCAGCUUCAAAUGACCUCCCACCUAAAGUCAGUGUCUUGCAAACAACAUCCUGGAAAAACUAAAAGAAUAAAGUUUGUAGUUCUAUUGGAUCUCAGCUGGACGCUACAACUUCAGAGGAAGAAUAUAUGUAAGGUGUGUAAGCAGAAACUCCACGAGGUCCAGGCGGAGAACAGGACUCUAAGAGUCUCUAAUCUUGACCACUGUCAACUGAAUUAGCAAAAAUUUCCACAGGCUGUGAAGAUGAUACUCUAUAGAGCCAAUGAUCUGUGUGUGACUACUCUUCAUAGAUGUAGCAGGGACAAUAGCCGGCUCCCCAUAGCUGUCCCCUUGUCAUCAUUUGCUGUAUUCUUAAAGGGCACACAAUCUAAAGCUAUUGUGGAAGAUGCCUCUUAUCCAUCUUUGCGGGUGGACGUAUGAGUUUUACCUUCCUACCUAGUGUAGCUAGGCGAGUUGCUGGUGGCUCCUCUGGGCUUAUUUUCUUGCACUUCCAGCCACAUGGCCUGCUGUUCGUGCUGGCCUCCUCUUGCAGCUCCACUUGGACAGUGCUAUAAUUAGCAACAAAAAGGGGGGCUGUGACAACUAUUCAGUGGGGAUCAAUGAUUGCUCUUGGUUGCAAAUGUCAAGCUCACUAAACAGAGAGAGAUUUAUUACAGAAUAUUGAAUUGCUCACAAAUUGUUGGGAAGGAAAUGGAUCCAAGCAAAACCUCUACAAAUAAUCCAAGAAUCAAACUGCAGACACAACUUGUAUAGAGCCUCGUCUCACUACAACCUCCGAGGAACUUGGGCACUGCCACUAGGAUAUGGGAGAUCUGGCCUCUUGAUCUGCAAACUUCUCACUGCUGUUUAUGACCACUGCUUAGUCUCAAGCAGAAUCACCCAGCUCCAUGGUUGCUGGGCUAUUUCUGGCCCAGGCCACCCUGAGUAUUUCCAUCAUAAAUGUGCAUCUCCCCACACUUGAACUCUGACUCCUUAAAACAUCAUAAGCCAUGUGCUACCAUCUCAUGUAAUGCAAAUGUUUCCUUUAUAAAUACCAGCAUAUUCACCUUUACCCAAAAAAUGGGGGAACCCAAAUCCCUUCGAUUUAUCUCCCCUCCUGGGAGUUCAUGAUCUUCCCCGAAGAGUCACAAACCCAUCUAGAUAUCAUUUAAACCACUGUCAAAAUUACAAAGAUGAAAGUGUUUUCUUUACAUAUUUUGUUAAAAAAUGAAAUUCAGUCCAGUAAGUUUGAAGA